rnacentral:rRNA from 1 species
GACGAACGCUGGCGGCGUGCUUAACACAUGCAAGUCGAACGGAAAGGCCCUGCUUUUGUGGGGUGCUCGAGUGGCGAACGGGUGAGUAACACGUGAGUAACUUGCCCUUGACUUUGGGAUAACUUCAGGAAACUGGGGCUAAUACCGGAUAGGAGCUCCUGCUGCAUGGUGGGGGUUGGAAAGUUUCGGCGGUUGGGGAUGGACUCGCGGCUUAUCAGCUUGUUGGUGGGGUAGUGGCUUACCAAGGCUUUGACGGGUAGCCGGCCUGAGAGGGUGACCGGCCACAUUGGGACUGAGAUACGGCCCAGACUACUACGGGAGGCAGCAGUGGGGAAUAUUGCACAAUGGGCGGAAGCCUGAUGCAGCAACGCCGCGUGCGGGAUGACGGCCUUCGGGUUGUAAACCGCUUUCGCCUGUGACGAAGCGUGAGUGACGGUAAUGGGUAAAGAAGCACCGGCUAACUACGU